ensembl:lncRNA
UGAAUCAGGGCCCGGUGCUGGGAGCUCCUUGUCGCUGUGUAACACUAGCGACAGACUCAUCCCUCACCGGCUGGGGUCAGUCAUGAGUGGCCACCCUGCCCGCGGUCUGUGGAGCGGUCGCCAUCUAACAUGGCAUAUCAGUUGUCUAGAGAUGCUAGCCGUCUAUUGGGCACUAAAAUAUUUCCUCCCAGACCUGAGAGGUCACCAUGUGUUGGUGCGCACCGACAACACAUCGGUGGUCUCUUACAUCAACCACCACGGAGGUCUGCGUUCGCGCCCCUUGUACAAGCUGGCGCACCAGAUCCUUGUGUGGUCCCAGUACAAACUCCUCUCACUCAGAGCAGUGUAUAUUCCUGGGAAAUUGAAUGUGGGAGCAGACAUACUGUCAAGGCAGGGGCCGAGGCCCGGGGAAUGGAGGCUUCACCCCGAGGUGGUGGAGCAGAUAUGGAGAAUCUUUGGCAAAGCUCAAGUGGACCUCUUUGCGACUCGAGAGACAUUGCAAUGUCCCCUUUGGUUCUCUCUAGUUCAUCCAGCUCCUUUGGGACUGGACGCUAUGGUACAGACUUGGCCGAGGCUUCGUCUGUACGCCUUUCCCCCUAUUGCUCUGCUCCCGGGAGUUCUGGCGAGAGUAUGCCGGGAGGGGGUCCGUCUGCUGUUAGUAGCCCCGUUCUGGCCGGGCCGAGUAUGGUUCUCAGAUCUGGUCUCGCUCCUCGACGGCUCUCCAUGGGAGAUACCAAUCAGGACAGACCUACUCUCACAGGCGCAGGGUACGAUAAUUCACCCUCGCCCGGAGUUAUGGAAACUGUGAGUGUGGCCCCUGAGGGGGCACAGCUCAUAGCAUCCGGUCUCUCAACCGAGGUUGGUGCAGAGACCGUCAGCUUGACCCAGUUAACUGCCCAGUUGGUACAGUGCUGGAGUUUCUGCAAGCCAGGUUCUCUGCAGGGUUGACCCACUCCACACUGAAGGUUUACGUGGCGGCCAUUGCGGCCUACCAUGUCCCUCUUGGUGGUCAGUCUUUGGGAAGACACCCCCUAGUUACACGUUUCCUCUGCGGUGCACUGAGGCCUCCAGUACGGUCCCAUAUUCCCCCCUGGGACUUGGUUGUGGUGUUAGAGGCACUUUGUAGAGCUCCAUUCGAGCCAAUACAAGAUAUAUCAGACAGACAUCUGACCCUUAAAACUGCCUUUCUGUUGGCUAUUACCUCUCUGAGGAGAGUUGGAGACCUUCAGGCCCUCUCAGUGGCCCCCACUUAUCUCGACUUUGCACCCGGCAUGGCCAAAGCGUUCAUAUACCCUCGAGCGGGUUAUGUUCCAAAAGUUCCCUCUGUCACGCCACAACCUAUAGUGCUGCAGGCCUUUUGUCCUACUCCCUUUCGGGAGCCCGACCAAGAGAAGCUAAACUGUAUGUGUCCAGUUCGAGCGCUGGACACAUACGUCCACAGAGCUGCCCUGUGGAGAAAAACGGACCAAUUGCUAGUAUGCUGCAGUCCCCCCAAAAGGGGCUUUCCUGCAUCUAAGAUGACUCUUACAUUUACAGCACGCCCUCUACAUUUACAAGAUUUUAUGGCUUAGACAUGCCAGUUAGAAUGUUAGAAUGUUAGAAAAUUUAAAAGGACUUUUUUUUAACUGUCUACCAGCCUUCGACUUGCCCUUUGAUGUCUCUAUGCCCGAAUUCUGAUGUUAUUUGCUGCUCCACAUCAGAGUUCCAGUUCAACCCAUUUAUUUAGGUCUGUGCAUCAUUGCAAAUGGCCAUUUCAUAGGAGCCCAUUUUUGUGUUGUUUUGUGUUGCAGAGAACUGUAUGAACAAUGAUGCUAUUGUA